rnacentral:rRNA from 1 species
GAUGAACGCCGGCGGCGUGCCUAAUACAUGCAAGUCGAGCGAACAGACGAGGAGCUUGCUCCUUUGACGUUAGCGGCGGACGGGUGAGUAACACGUGGAUAACCUACCUAUAAGACUGGGAUAACUUCGGGAAACCGGAGCUAAUACCGGAUAACAUGUUGAACCGCAUGGUUCAACAGUGAAAGACGGUCUUGCUGUCACUUAUAGAUGGAUCCGCGCCGCAUUAGCUAGUUGGUAAGGUAACGGCUUACCAAGGCAACGAUGCGUAGCCGACCUGAGAGGGUGAUCGGCCACACUGGAACUGAGACACGGUCCAGACUCCUACGGGAGGCAGCAGUAGGGAAUCUUCCGCAAUGGGCGAAAGCCUGACGGAGCAACGCCGCGUGAGUGAAGAAGGUCUUCGGAUCGUAAAACUCUGUUAUUAGGGAAGAACAAAUGUGUAAGUAACUAUGCACGUCUUGACGGUACCUAAUCAGAAAGCCACGGCUAACUACGUG